rnacentral:rRNA from 1 species
GACGAACGCUGGCGGCGUGCUUAACACAUGCAAGUCGAACGGGAUUUAGUAAACGGAAGCCUCGGUGGAAGAUUACUAAUGAGAGUGGCGAACGGGUGAGUAACGCGUGAGCAACCUGCCUAUGACAGUGGGAUAGCCUCGGGAAACCGGGAUUAAUACCGCAUAAAAUCGUAGAAACACAUGUUUCAACGGUCAAAGAUUUAUCGGUCAUAGAUGGGCUCGCGUCUGAUUAGCUAGUUGGUGAGAUAACAGCCCACCAAGGCGACGACCAGUAGCCGGUCUGAGAGGAUGAACGGCCACAUUGGAACUGAGACACGGUCCAAACUCCUACGGGAGGCAGCAGUGGGGAAUAUUGCACAAUGGGGGAAACCCUGAUGCAGCGACGCCGCGUGAACGAAGAAGGUAUUCGUAUCGUAAAGUUCUGCCCUAUGGGAAGAUAAUGACAGUACCAUAGAAGAAAGCUCCGGCUAAAUACGUG